CCUACGGGAGGCAGCAGUGGGGAAUAUUGCACAAUGGGGGAAACCCUGAUGCAGCGACGCCGCGUGAGUGAAGAAGUAUUUCGGUAUGUAAAGCUCUAUCAGCAGGGAAGAAAGUGACGGUACCUGUCUACGAAGCCCCGGAUAACUACGGGCCAGCAGCCGCGGUAAUACGUAGGGGGCAAGCGUUAUCCGGAUUUACUGGGUGUAAAGGGAGCGUAGACGGCAGCGCAAGUCUGAAGUGAAAUCCCAUGGCUUAACCAUGGAACUGCUUUGGAUACUGGGCAGCUGGAGUGCAGGAGAGGGAAGCAGAAUUCCUGGUGUAGCGGUGAAAUGCGUAGAUAUCAGGAGGAAUACCAGUGGCGAAGGCGGCCUCCUGGACUGUAACUGACGUUGAGGUUCGAAAGCGUGGGGAGCAAACAGGAUUAGAUACCCGUGUAGUC
rnacentral:rRNA from 1 species